rnacentral:rRNA from 1 species
AGUGAACGCUGGCGGUAGGCCUAACACAUGCAAGUCGAACGGCAGCACAGUAAGAGCUUGCUCUUACGGGUGGCGAGUGGCGGACGGGUGAGGAAUACAUCGGAAUCUACUUUUUCGUGGGGGAUAACGUAGGGAAACUUACGCUAAUACCGCAUACGACCUACGGGUGAAAGCAUGGGAUCUUCGGACCUUGCGCGAUUGAAUUAGCCGAUGUCGGAUUAGCUAGUUGGCGGGGUAAAGGCCCACCAAGGCGACGAUCCGUAGCUGGUCUGAGAGGAUGAUCAGCCACCCUGGAACUGAGACACGGUCCAGACUCCUACGGGAGGCAGCAGUGGGGAAUAUUGGACAAUGGGCGCAAGCCUGAUCCAGCCAUACCGCGUGGGUGAAGAAGGCCUUCGGGUUGUAAAGCCCUUUUGUUGGGAAAGAAAAGCAGCAGGUUAAUACCCAGCUGUUGUGACGGUACCCAAAGAAUAAGCACCGGCUAACUUCGUG